rnacentral:rRNA from 1 species
UACGUAGGGGGCGAGCGUUGUCCGGAAUUAUUGGGCGUAAAGAGCGCGUAGGCGGCUUGGCAAGUCGGAUGUGAAAACUCCAGGCUCAACCUGGAGCCGCCAUUCGAUACUGCUAUGGCUAGAGUCCGGUAGGGGAGUGUGGAAUUCCCGGUGUAGCGGUGAAAUGCGCAGAUAUCAGGAGGAACACCAAUGGCGAAGGCAGCUCGCUGGGACGGUACUGACGCUGAGGCGCGAAAGCGUGGGGAGCAAACAGG